rnacentral:snoRNA from 1 species
UGGGGGUCUGAGAAAGUGAGGCAGCUCUGCACCAUGCUGCCUUCUACCGGUUAAGGCCUCCAACAGCAAACGGUUGCCCAGGCAAAGAAUGUCCCUUUGCUACCCUCAGAGGGACAGCACUGUCUUGGUCAACAUUUA